UACGUAGGGUGCAAGCGUUAUUCGGAAUUACUGGGCGUAAAGCGUGCGCAGGCGGUUUUGUAAGACAGAUGUGAAAUCCCCGGGCUUAACCUGGGAACUGCAUUUGUGACUGCAUAGCUAGAGUACGGUAGAGGGGGAUGGAAUUCCGCGUGUAGCAGUGAAAUGCGUAGAUAUGCGGAGGAACACCGAUGGCGAAGGCAAUCCCCUGGACCUGUACUGACGCUCAUGCACGAAAGCGUGGGGAGCAAACAGG
rnacentral:rRNA from 1 species